CCUACGGAGAGCAGCAGUGGGGAAUAUUGGACAAUGGGCGAAAGCCUGAUCCAGCCAUGCCGCGUGUGUGAAGAAGGCCUUCGGGUUGUAAAGCACUUUCAGUGGGGAAGAAAGCCUUGGGGCUAAUACCCUCGAGGAAGGACAUCACCCACAGAAGAAGCACCGGCUAACUCCGUGCCAGCAGCCGCGGUAAUACGGAGGGUGCGAGCGUUAAUCGGAAUUACUGGGCGUAAAGCGCGCGUAGGCGGUCUGAUAAGCCGGUUGUGAAAGCCCCGGGCUCAACCUGGGAACGGCAUCCGGAACUGUCAGGCUAGAGUGCAGGAGAGGAAGGUAGAAUUCCCGGUGUAGCGGUGAAAUGCGUAGAGAUCGGGAGGAAUACCAGUGGCGAAGGCGGCCUUCUGGACUGACACUGACGCUGAGGUGCGAAAGCGUGGGUAGCAAACAGGAUUAGAUACCCUUGUAGUC
rnacentral:rRNA from 1 species